UGGGGAAUAUUGGACAAUGGGCGAAAGCCUGAUCCAGCAAUGCCGCGUGAGUGAUGAAGGCCCUAGGGUUGUAAAGCUCUUUUACCCGGGAUGAUAAUGACAGUACCGGGAGAAUAAGCUCCGGCUAACUCCGUGCCAGCAGCCGCGGUAAUACGGAGGGAGCUAGCGUUGUUCGGAAUUACUGGGCGUAAAGCGCGCGUAGGCGGUUUUUUAAGUCAGGGGUGAAAGCCCGGAGCUCAACUCCGGAAUAGCCUUUGAAACUGGAAGACUUGAAUCUUGGAGAGGUCAGUGGAAUUCCGAGUGUAGAGGUGAAAUUCGUAGAUAUUCGGAAGAACACCAGUGGCGAAGGCGACUGACUGGACAAGUAUUGACGCUGAGGUGCGAAAGCGUGGGGAGCAAACA
rnacentral:rRNA from 1 species